GACGAACGCUGGCGGCGUGCCUAAUACAUGCAAGUCGAACGCAGUGGGGACGGGUGAGUAACACGUGGGUAACCUCCCAUCAGAGGGGAUAACACUUGGAAACAGGUGCUAAACCGAUACUGAUGGAAGGACCCGCGUUUGAUUAGCUAGUUGGUGCGGUAACGGCUCACCAAGGCCACGAUGCAUAGCAGGGCGGAGAGGAUGAUCGGCCACACUGGGACUGAGACACGGCCCAGACUCCUACGGGAGGCAGCAGUGGGGAAUAUUGCACAAUGGACGAAAGCCUGACCGAGCAACGCCGCGUGUGUGAAGAAGGUUUUCGGAUCGUAAAAUUCUGUUGUUAGAGAAGCGUUACCUAAACAAAAAGCCACGGCUAACUCCGUGCCAGCAGCCGCGGUAAUAC
rnacentral:rRNA from 1 species